rnacentral:rRNA from 1 species
AACGAACGCUGGCGGCAGGCUUAACACAUGCAAGUUUAGCGCCCCGCAAGGGGAGCGGCAGACGGGUGAGUAACACGUGGGAACAUACCCAUCUCUGCGUAACAACUCCGGGAAACUGGAGCCAAUACCGCAUACGCCCUUAGGGGGAAAAAUUUAUCGGAGAUGGAUUGGCCAGCGUUGGAUUAGCUAGCUGGUGGGGUAAAGACCUACCAAGGCGACGAUCCAUGGCUGGUCUGAGAGGAUGAUCAGCCACAUUGGGACUGAGACACGGCCCAAACUCCUACGGGCGGCAGCAGUGGGGAAUAUUGGCCAAUGGGCGCAAGCCUGAUCCAGCCAUGCCGCGUAAGUGAUGAAGGCCUUAGGGUUGUAAAGCUCUUUCACCGAUGAAGAUAAUGACGGUAGUCGGAGAAGAAGCCCCGGCUAACUUCGUGCCAGCCGCCGCGGUAAGAC